rnacentral:rRNA from 1 species
GACGUAGGGCGCGAGCGUUGUCCGGAUUUAUUGGGCGUAAAGAGCUCGUAGGCGGCUUGUCGCGUCGACUGUGAAAUCCCGCGGCUCAACUGCGGGUCUGCAGUCGAUACGGGCAGGCUAGAGUUCGGCAGGGGAGACUGGAAUUCCUGGUGUAGCGGUGAAAUGCGCAGAUAUCAGGAGGAACACCGGUGGCGAAGGCGGGUCUCUGGGCCGUAACUGACGCUGAGGAGCGAAAGCGUGGGGAGCGAACAGG